rnacentral:tRNA from 1 species
GAAUGUAGCUUGGUGGUAGAGUGUUUGCCUAGCAUGUGUAAGGCCCUAGGUUUGAUUCCUAGUACUACAUGCA